GACGAACGCUGGCGGCGUGCCUAACACAUGCAAGUCGAACGGUCCGGCACUCAGCCAACCCUCAGUCUAACUGUAGGUGAGGUUAAGUGCCGGAUAGUGGCGGACGGGUGAGUAACGCGUGGGCAACCAACCCUGUACAGUGGGAUAACACCGGGAAACCGGUGCUAAUACCGCAUGACACCUAGACAGUGCAUACUGACUAGGUUAAAGGAUUUAGCCGGUACAGGACGGGCCCGCGUCCCAUUGGCUAGUUGGUGAGGUAACGGCUCACCAAGGCGACGAUGGGUAGCCGACCUGAGAGGGUGACCGGCCACACUGGGACUGAGACACGGCCCAGACUCCUACGGGAGGCAGCAGUGGGGAAUAUUGCGCAAUGGACGAAAGUCUGACGCAGCGACGCCGCGUGAGCGAAGAAGGCCUUCGGGUCGUAAAGCUCUGUUCUUGGGGACGAAGGAAGUGACGGUACCCAAGGAGAAAGCCCCGGCUAACUACGUG
rnacentral:rRNA from 1 species